UUUGUCUUUCAACAUGAUAUCAGAGACAAGGCUGAAUUGAAACCCUAACCCCAUUCUCUUCUCUGUGCAGUCUCUCUCUCUCUCUCUCUUCUCACCUUCUCCUUUGCUUUCUUUUAGUGUAGGGCGACACUAAUGAGGUGAUUCUUUGAAUCUAUUUUUUGCCCUUAAUUUCACCUUUAUGAGAUAAACUAAAACUUCGUUGCAAUCUAUUCUUCUGCAAUUUAUUGGAUCUUCUUGUUGGAGAUUGUUUUGCCUUGCCACCAGCCUGCAAUUAUCUCAAGUAUGAAGACCAAAGUACUGCAGUUUGUGGACCACCAUAUUCCCUUCUUUUUUUUUCUCCAAAUUUCUUCUGAAAAGGUUCUUAUCCUUUUUUAAAGGUUUCCAAAACCUUGAAAAAUCGAUUUUUGCCUUCCCUAGAUCUGAUUUGGCUGAUUUUUGGAGGACAACUUCAGCUUACAACAAGAGGACUUCAAUCCAAUUUUUGGCCUUUUCUGGUCGUGGGCUUACUGGGCAUAUCAUGGCACUUCUGUGAAACCAGAUACAUCAGAUAAUGCUCAGUAUAAGUGGAUCUCAAAUGACUUUAUGAUAAUGUCUUUUCUUCUUAAUUCGAUGCAACCAAAGAUUGCAAAAGGACAUUUGCUUCUUGAUACUGCAGCACAAAUUUGGCCAGCUGCAAGAGAUACUUCUGAUCUUCCUACUUCGAAAGGGUACUAGAACUUAUACUCAACACCUUAUAUCCAAUGUUGUCUUGUCUAGCUGCUAUUGCACUUUUGUGUCUUCUCUAUCUUCUAUCUCUAUUCCACAGAAUUGGCAAGAAGUUUUUGCAGAUGAGAAGUGGAAGGCAGCAAUGGUAGAGGAAAUGCAUGCUUUGAAGAACAAUGGCACAUGGGAUCUCAUUUUUCUUCCUCCUGGGAAACAACUGGUAGGAAGUAAAAGGGUGUUUGUAGUCAAACAGAAGAUACCAUGGACAGAUAUAAAACACGAUUGGUGGCAAAGGGAUUUACUAAGACUUAUGGGAUUAACUAUCAAGAAACCUUUGCUUUGAAUACUGUUCGAGUUCUACUUUCUUAUGCUAUUAACCAAGAAUGGGAUCUUUAGUAAUCAGAUGUGAAGAAUGUCUUUCUUCACGGAGAGUUAGAAGGAGAAGUGUAUACGGAGAUUCCUCCAGAUUUUUCUUGUGACAAAACUCAAGGUAAAGUUUGUAAGUUGAAACGGCACUUUAUGGUUUAAAUCAAUCACCUCGAGCCUAGUUUGAUAGGUUUCAAAAAGCUAUGAUUUCCAAUGGGUAUAAACGGAGCAAUGCUGAUCAUACUUUGUUUGUGAAGGGAUUAAGCGCUAAAGUCACUAUUCUCAUUGUCUAUAGACGAUAUUCUUGUCACAAGGAAUGAUAAUGAUGAGAUCAACUAGUUGAAAAUUUUUCUUGGACAAGAGUUCGAGAUAAAGGAUCUUGGAAAGCUCCGAUACUUUCUUAGGAUUGAAGUUGCCACAUCUUCAAAAGGUAUCUCUCUAUCCCAAAGGAAGUAUGUCCUUGAUCUUGUGACAAAAGAUGGGUUAUUGGGAUGUUAUCCCUCUAAUAAACCAAUUGAGGCCAAUACUCAUCUUCGAGAAAAGGAUGGCGAUCCAGUUGACAAAGGCCAUUAUCAGCAGUCAGUGGGCAAGUGGAUUUAUUUUUCCCAUAUUCGACUUGAUAUUGUUUUUACCGUGAGCCUAGUGAGUCAAUUUAUGCAUGAUCCAUACUCUACUCACAUGGAUGCCGUUCUUCAAAUCCUUCAAUAUUUGAAGUUUGCUCCCCGGAAAGGGAUUUUGUCUUUCAUGAUGGCUUGAAAGUUGAAGCUUAUACAGAUGUUAAUUGGGCAGGAUCCCCAAAUCGAAAGUCUAUUUCUAGGUAUUGUACAUUCUCUUAAGAGGGAAUCUUGUUACCUGGGGCGGUAAAAAGCAGAAUGUAAUUGCUCGGUCUAGCGCUAAAGCAGAGUUUCAUGCAAUACCACAGGGAGUUUGUGAGCUGUUAUGGCUUAAAGGAUUACUUAAAGAUCUUGGUGUAUUUGUCUUUGUUCCUAUGACGCUAUAUUAUGAUAAUAAGAUUGCUAUUAGCAUUGCU